CCGGUCUCCGGUUCACCCGCGCUGCGCUCGCGUGCGGGACCCGGCGCC
rfam:Actinomyces massiliensis F0489 contig00038, whole genome shotgun sequence.